rnacentral:rRNA from 1 species
UGGCGGACGGGUGAGUAACGCGUGAGUAACCUGCCUUCAAGAGGGGGAUAACAUUCUGAAAAGGAUGCUAAUACCGCAUGAUAUAUCGGAACCACAUGGUUUUGAUAUCAAAGAUUUUAUCGCUUGAAGAUGGACUCGCGUCCGAUUAGUUUGUUGGUGAGGUAACGGCUCACCAAGACCGCGAUCGGUAGCCGGACUGAGAGGUUGAACGGCCACAUUGGGACUGAGACACGGCCCAAACUCCUACGGGAGGCAGCAUG